rnacentral:tRNA from 1 species
UAGGAUUUAGUGUAUUGUGGUAGCACGAAGAUUUUUGAGUUCUUAGGAUUAGGUUCGAUUCCUAUGGUCCUAG